rnacentral:rRNA from 1 species
GACGAACGCUGGCGGCGUGCUUAACACAUGCAAGUCGAACGGAAAGGCCCUGCUUUUGUGGGGUGCUCGAGUGCCGAAGGGGUGAGUAACACGUGAGUAACCUGCCCUUGACUUUGGGAUAACUUCAGGAAACGGGGGCUAAAACCGGAUAGGAUCUCCUGCUCCAUGGUGGGGGUUGGAAAGUUUCGGCGGUUGGGGAUGGACUCGCGGCUUAUCAGCUUGUUGGUGGGGUAGGGGCUUACCAAGGCUUUGACGGGUAGCCGGCCUGAGAGGGUGACCGGCCACCUUGGGACUGAGAUACGGCCCAGACUCCUACGGGAGGCAGCAGUGGGGAAUAUUGCACAAUGGGCGGAAGCCUGAUGCAGCAGCGCCGCGUGCGGGAUGACGGCCUUCGGGUUGUAAACCGCUUUCGCCUGUGACGAAGCGUGAGUGACGGUAAUGGGUAAAGAAGCACCGGCUAACUACGUG